AUUGAACGCUGGCGGCAGGCUUAACACAUGCAAGUCGAACGAUGACGGUACUGCUUGCAGUACCUAAUUAGUGGCGGACGGGUGAGUAACGCUUAGGAAUCUACCUAAUAAUGGGGGAUAGCCCGGGGAAACUCGGAUUAAUACCGCAUACGUCUUACGAGAGAAAGGGGGCUACUUGUAGCUCUCGUUAUUAGAUGAGCCUAAGUUAGAUUAGCUAGAUGGUGGGGUAAAGGCCUACCAUGGCGACGAUCUAUAGCUGGUCUGAGAGGAUGAUCAGCCACACCGGAACUGAGACACGGUCCGGACUCCUACGGGAGGCAGCAGUGGGGAAUAUUGGACAAUGGGGGCAACCCUGAUCCAGCCAUGCCGCGUGUGUGAAGAAGGCCUUUUGGUUGUAAAGCACUUUAAGUAGCGAAGAAGACCCCAUGGUUAAUACCCAUGGGCGAUGACAUUAACUACAGAAUAAGCACCGGCUAACUCUGUGCCAGCAGCCGCGGUAAUACAGAGGGUGCGAGCGUUAAUCGGAAUUACUGGGCGUAAAGCGAGCGUAGGUGGUCUAAUAAGUCAGAUGUGAAAUCCCCGGGCUCAACCUGGGAACUGCAUCUGAAACUGUUAAACUAGAGUAGGUGAGAGGGGAGUAGAAUUUCAGGUGUAGCGGUGAAAUGCGUAGAUAUCUGAAGAAAUACCGAUGGCGAAGGCAGCUCCCUGGCAUCAUACUGACACUGAGGCUCGAAAGCGUGGGUAGCAAACAGG
rnacentral:rRNA from 1 species